rnacentral:rRNA from 1 species
GACGAACGCUGGCGGCGUGCUUAACACAUGCAAGUCGAACGGUGAAGCGCCUUCCUUUUUGGUGGGUGUGGAUGAGUGGCGAACGGGUGAGUAACACGUGAGUAACCUGCCCCCUUCUUCUGGAUAACCGCAUGAAAGUGUGGCUAAUACGGGAUAUUCUGGGUCUGUCGCAUGAUGGGUCUGGGAAAGGUAUUGUUUCGGUGGGGGAUGGGCUCGCGGCCUAUCAGCUUGUUGGUGGGGUGAUGGCCUACCAAGGCGGUGACGGGUAGCCGGCCUGAGAGGGUGGACGGUCACACUGGGACUGAGACACGGCCCAGACUCCUACGGGAGGCAGCAGUGGGGAAUAUUGCACAAUGGGCGCAAGCCUGAUGCAGCGACGCCGCGUGAGGGAUGGAGGCCUGCGGGUUGUGAACCUCUUUCGCCAGUGAAGCAGGCCUGCCUCGUUUGUGGGUGGGUUGACGGUAGCUGGAGAAGAAGCGCCGGCUAACUACGUG